rnacentral:rRNA from 1 species
AUACGGAGGAUCCGAGCGUUAUCCGGAUUUAUUGGGUUUAAAGGGUGCGCAGGCGGCCAUUUAAGUCAGCGGUUAAAUCGUGGGGCUCAACCCCAUUCUGCCGUUGAUACUGGGUGGCUUGAUUGCGGUCGAGGUUGGCGGAAUUCGUUGUGUAGCGGUGAAAUGCAUAGAUAUGACGAAGAACACCGAUUGCGUAGGCAGCUGGCCAGACCGCAAAUGACGCUCAUGCGCGAAAGUGCGGUGAUCGAACAGGAUUAGAUACCCUGGCAGUCCGCACAGUAAACGAUGAAUACUUGUUUUCGGCGAUAUAAUGUCGGAGGCAAAGCGAAAGCGAUAAGUAUUCCACCUGGGGAGUACGCCGGCAACGGUGAAACUCAAAUGAAUUGACGGGG